CAGUGGGGGAAUCUUGGACAAUGGGGGCAACCCUGAUCCAGCCAUGCCGCGUGAGUGAUGAAGGCCCUAGGGUCGUAAAGCUCUUUGCCAGGGAUGAUAAUGACAGUACCUGGUAAAGAAACCCCCGGCUAACUCCGUGCCAGCAGCCGCGGUAAUACGGAGGGGGUUAGCGUUGUUCGGAAUUACUGGGCGUAAAGCGCGCGUAGGCGGAUUGGAAAGUUGGGGGUGAAAUCCCGGGGCUCAACCCCGGAACUGCCUCCAAAACUCCCAGUCUUGAGUUCGAGAGAGGUGAGUGGAAUUCCGAGUGUAGAGGUGAAAUUCGUAGAUAUUCGGAGGAACACCAGUGGCGAAGGCGGCUCACUGGCUCGAUACUGACGCUGAGGUGCGAAAGUGUGGGGAGCAAACAGGAUUAGAUACCCUGGUAG
rnacentral:rRNA from 1 species